rfam:Intrasporangium calvum DSM 43043, complete genome.
GGAGGGCUCGCAUAGUGGCCUAGUGCGGCGGUCUUGAAAACCGCUAUGGGUUCAUAGCCCAUCGUGGGUUCGAAUCCCACGCCCUCCG